GAAGUCGCUGCACUCAAAGAGGGUAGUGAAGAACUGAAAUUGAUAAUAAGGGAGAAAGAUCACAGAGGGGAACUGCUAGAAAUUGAAAACUGUGACCUAGCAAAAGCAUUGCACUUGGCAGAGGAUGAGUUGAAGACUCUUAAAAGUAUGACGGAUCAGCUCAGUCUUCAAGUAAAUGUUGGCAAAAAUCUGUUGUCUGAGAAGGACACUGAGCUUCAGGGAAUGGAACAGAAGCUUUAUCUUACUGAAACUGAGAAAGCUGUGUUGCAUCAAAUUUUGAUGAAU
rnacentral:misc_RNA from 1 species